UACAGAGGGGGCAAGCGUUGUUCGGAAUUACUGGGCGUAAAGGGCGCGUAGGCGGCCUGCUAAGUCGAACGUGAAAUCCCUGGGCUCAACCCAGGAACUGCGUCCGAUACUGGUUGGCUUGAAUCCGGGAGAGGGAUGCGGAAUUCCAGUGUAGCGGUGAAAUGCGUAGAUAUCUGGAGGAACACCGGUGGCGAAGGCGGCAUCCUGGACCGGCAUUGACGCUGAGGCGCGAAAGCCAGGGGAGCAAAGC
rnacentral:rRNA from 1 species